rnacentral:lncRNA from 1 species
GAAGGAAAACAAGCAUGAGCUGCCUCUUUGUGGGAUUAGUAAGUUGACACCUCACUUGUAUAAUAGGAGCUGUCCUUAUAGUAUGCAUAUAGACUUGUUACUCGGUUGGGCAGUAAGGAAUGUUAUCCUAUGAAUUAAAUGUUCCCAACAUUCCCUAAUUUUUCCUUCUCUCUCAAAUGAUUCCGCUCCUUGCUAAGGCAAAUACGGAACUCCUCUCCAUCUAAUCACAAUUGAGUUACUCCUUAGCAAUCUCCAGUACUUAUAUUCCGCGGGCACAAGAAAAUAAUUUGAAAGCUUCAUAAUAUCCUUGAGCAGCUGGGAUUAAGUUGCAGAAUAGUAAGAAAUUAUAAGCAAUCAAGUGAAAGGUAUGUGAAUUAUUUUACUAAGUUUUGUUAGCUAUGAUGUUAGUAUUGAGCAAAGUGAUUGUGAAUUAGAACAAAACAGUUGGUUAUAAAACAAAACAAAAACUGUUAGUUUAUUGGUUGUUUGAGUAUUCAUGUUUUGUUUGUGAAAUUGACUGCUAUGAAUUUAAUUUAGGCACAAAGAGAUAAGUGGGCUGUGGAGUAAUAAGGAGAAUAAUAUGAGUUUAUAAUAUAAACCUAUGGCUAUGAAUCUAGUAACACAAAACUGUGCACACUACGUGUUUGUUAAAAGUCCCAAGUGGACUGUAUUGAUUAGAAAUCAAUUACUAGAUAAAAUCAAAAACUGGGACAAAGUGGUAUGCUAUAUGAGUUUAUAAUCAGAGUAAAUAAGCAUGCUAGUUUGAAAUGAAACUCAAUUAUAGCCAAAGGAAAAACAGAGUAUGUCAAUGCUCAUGUAAGUGCUGUUUUGUGCAGUCAACUGAAACUGAAAUGGAAGUGCUUCAAUUUCUACAAAUAUUAUUAUUAUAUGAUAGAUGUAAUAUAUCUAAAAAGGAUAUAGAUGAACAUUUGAAUUGAAGCAACAAACUAGGGAAAUAGGCACAUAGCUGCUGCCUAUGGCAGCAGCAGUAUCAGUGAUAUGGUUUAGGUGAGAGUUUGUUUUAAGUUUUCAAUCGGCAAGCUUAGUGGUUUAAAUAACUUAGUUACUAUUUUAUUCAAGUUGGUAACUAUAUUACCUAUAUUAUCUCCAAAAUUGUAGUAUAUUAACUACAAGUUAGAAAUUGGUUGAAGGGCAGAGCAUGGCAGCAGCAGCAGUUUGCAACAGCCAUCAACCAAGAGAUAGUGGGUGUGGGUUGUGGCUGCAAGACAACUACAGCCAUAGCUAAUAAGUGCACUAAAGGAAUAAGCUACUGCUGUAUAGCAGCCAUGAACAACAAGUAGUAACGAGUCCCAACUUAUAGAGAUUUGAGCUGGGUAUAUGAUGGCUACAUAUUAGUUUAUAAAAGUAGUGAAGAAUUGUUUAUAAAUCUUUAACAAACAAUCCCAUGAGUUAUAAAAAAAAAAACUAAUUAAGAAAUGGGAUAGAAUAGCUGACUUGGACAGCUGCAGAACAAUGGCUGGGCUGGGGGGCUUUCAUUUGAGCAAUUCGACGGUAUAGUUGAAUGGUUUUACGAAUUUAAUUAGCAUUCUAUUUAAAUAGGAAGUAUGUAAACUUCUAUGCUUUCAAAGAAUGGCAUAAUAAGGUGUGUAAUUGGAGCUAAUUAUCGAGCAAGGGGGAGGCAAGCUGCUGCACAUUUGCAGCAACAGUUGUUAGCUAACUGCUAAUGCAGUGUAAAGCCACACUAAAAUUUAUUAAAUCCCACAAAGUCAAACAUAAGUGACUAAUAGCAUAAAAAAAUGCUAAGAAACUGUUAGUAUAUUUAAGUGAGCUACUUAACUCACUUAGUUAAAUAGAGGAAACAAAAGGAUAAUUAACAAGCAAAAUUUAACCUCAAUAGUAAGAGGUUGCUAAGCCAACUAAAUUACGCGAGAGAAUUGUUAAAGCAUCUAUAAAGGCUGCAAGAUAUAUUUAGCCAAAGAGGGUUAUUUUGACAUAACUAAGAAACGCUAUAAGUCGAAUGAAUAAUUUGACAAUAUAAUUUGCAAAGCAGAUUGGGAACUAAAAGUUCUACCCUUAUGAUAAACAAUCAUACUUAAUACAUGAAAUAUCUUACGUAUUCACCUUGAAUACCUAAGUUAUAAAGAAGAUUGCAAAGUAUACUCAUGGCAAGAAAGAAGAAAAAGGAAUAUAAACUAAAGUCAUGAAAAUUCAUGAACAUGGAUUAUGUCAGACCCUAUAAAAGAAAGAAAAGGCUAUUGUAAGAACAUGGAUGAGGUAUUUGAAAAAUGUAUAGAAAUAUCUCAAGCAUAAACUAAAAACAUUAUCACUAUGAGGUUUUUGACUUCUCCUUGGCCUUCAGUAUACACCUUGGGUACAUGGGCGUCAUCUCCCUUUGUGACUUGUUCAUAAAAAGAAACUUUCAAUAAGAAAAGGGUGUAUGAUAGAUUUGAAUGUGGCUUCGAAGGAAAUAAUGCAGACGUUUGGCUUUUCGAUAUUUGGAUUUGAUUAAUUAUUCAAUGCAUAUCUACUAUUAAAUACAGUGUUGUUUUGGAUGGUGAAAAACUUGAUGCCUUCUGUCCUAACAAAGGAUUGGGUGGGUAAAUACCUUUUCUGUACUUGUUCAAUAUGUUUCCUGAAAGUCUAUCCUUUGAUAAACUGGGCGGUAGAUAGUUUAUGGUUCCUCAUGUUAAAAUUUGAGUUAAACAAGUGGAUAACUCAUCAUAAUAGACAAUGAGAUUAAAGACUGGAAAAGUCCACUGAUUUGUAAGUGUUUCCCCAAGAAGUGACUCAAGAUACUUUAGUUGGCCCGUGCUCUUGGAUUUUGACAGGAAGCUCCUUGAGUUCUGCCAAGGAAAUGAAGUGGUAACUUUGCAAGAGAGACUCGGUGUCUCAACAACAUUGGAAGUUGCUACUAGUGGGAGACUAUGAAGAAGAAUGCCUAUUGAUUGAUGGUCCCCUAUCUAUACUGAGGAGGUUUCUUAUUGUGAAGAGGGUGUAGAGAAGCAUGAUAAAAAGUAAGGUGAAGAGGGGGUUUCUUAGUCAAGUGCUGCAUAGAUGGAAGAAUUCAACUAUGAAGCCACAAUCAUACAAAUUUUCAGCAUGGUUGUGUAUUGAAAGAAGUCACAGAAAUUAGCUAAGGAAUGGGAAGAUGCUUGAGACAUGGGAAGACUUUGCUCUCUAUUUCCGUAAUAAUGGUAGUUUAUCCACGUUAGCUCUCAAGCUUUCCUGUUUUUUUUCAUAAACCAUAAUCUCCAUUAUUGCAUACUAAUUUAUCUCGGCUUUAUCUCUUGACUGAUUUCUAGUGUUAAGGGUUGCAUGGUACCAGUUGCUGCAAAUACAUAUUCAUUUAUUUGGUUGGUCAUGUUUAUGACCUGCCUUUCAUGGUUUUUUCAGGAUAUAUUGAACUGAAGAACAUAGGAUCCUGUAAUGACUUUUCGUCAAAAAUGGAGUCAUGAAAAUAAUGAGGUAUACACCUGGUAAAUUCCCUCUGAAUCAAUUGCCUGAAUAAAUUUGUCUGGAAUGUGUUAGAUGUAUUGAAGUAUGAUGCAAUGUUCUGGAUUGUGAUUAGGGCGUCUGUCUGCUGAUAAAUUUGAUGAGUCAUUAGUCUUAGGCUGUUGGUCACUUGUCCUUCGUCAUGUGCCAUCAGGCAUAGGGCUAUGGGUCGAACGAUGAAUGCCCAACACGUGGCGGCUCAUUGUUUACAGGAAAAUUUGCUGGCCUUUCUUCAUCUUCUCAUGUAGAGUCCUCCAAACUAUUAUUCUUCCAUUGAACAAAUAUUUGAACAAUUGAUGGCGCCUUUCUUCUGU